CGUGAGAUGUUGGGUUAAGUCCCGUAACGAGCGCAACCCUUGUCCUUAGUUACCAGCACGUUAUGGUGGGCACUCUAAGGAGACUGCCGGUGACAAACCGGAGGAAGUGGGGAUGACGUCAAGUCAUCAUGGCCCUUACGGCCUGGGCUACACACGUGCUACAAUGGUCGGUACAAAGGGGUUGCCAAGCCGCGAGGUGGAGCUAAUCCCAUAAAACCGAUCGUAGUCCGGAUCGCAGUCUGCAAUUCGACUGCGUGAAGUCGGAAUCGCUAGUAAUCGUGAAUCAGAAUGUCACGGUGAAUACGUUCCCGGGCCUU
rnacentral:rRNA from 1 species